UCAGCAGAAACAUGAGAAAAACAGCACUGAUCAGAAUGCAGAGAGUGCACACGGUGGGGACAACAAUCUCUGUGACCAUCUCCAUGUGGCUGAUUAAUGGAUCUGAAACAAACAUACACAAUGAUGAAUUCCUUAUAGUACCUUCACAAAGUGGAGCAGGCGGCGAAAUCCCCACGGCACAGAGUAGAGCCACUCUGAUCCAGGGUCAGGCCAGCGUGGAUCCACCAGCUCCGCAAGGUCACGGUCUGUGAAGUAGCUGUUUCCACGGUUGGAGGGGAAAUUCUUCUGCGUGAUGUAUCGAGUGGUGAAAUGGGAGAUACCCAGAAAGUCACAGGACUCAUGAAGCAAAAGUCUGGAUGUGGAACUGAAGAAAAAGACCAGAGGAUUGUCUCUACAGUUGUGUGUAAAAGGUCUCUGAGUCCAGUAAGCAAAAGGAGUGGAGAGCUUCCUCAGGAGAGAAGGAAUGUAAAGUAUUCCCCUGAUGACCACAGCAUAACAAUCAAAGAAGUGAAAAAAAGAGAAGUCCAGAGAAGAAAAGCUGGACAAAACAGACAGUCUGUAAAAUAGAGGAUCGGAUGUUCUCGAGCCUCCAGGAGGGCAGUCGGCCGGCAGACGGACUGGCUCCAUGACUGGGCAUCUACACACAGCCAGACAUUUUCUCAUCAGUUUUACUUUCACCAACCUCAGCUGAACAUCCUUGUUGCUACUAAACAUUCUCACAUAUACAUUCAUAUGCACACACAGACACGUUUGGUAUCUUGUUGGGGAUUUUUUUUUUACUUUUAUUAUUGUUAUAUACUGAGUUGAUAAAGUUGAUGAUAUUGAUGUUCCAUUGGAAAAUAUGCAUUAUCAUCACCUAUAUAGUUCUUCCCAAAGACCAAAAAAAUCAAUACAUAGGCUACUGUAAUUCACUUUUGGUUUAAAGGAAAUAUAUGAGCAUUAUAUUGAUGGAUAUGAUUGAAUGAAACUUCAGCAUCCAUCAAUGCAAAGCUAACAUAUAAAAGAUGUAGUGUAAUAUUAAAUCAUAUGCACGAGUGAAGUUGUCCUUGAGAAUAUGAAACAUCCUUUAAGAUGAACAUACAAAGUUAUUUAAAAAAAGUAAUUAAUUAAACUAUUAUUUAAAUAAGGUUCAUUACCUUUAAUUAAUGCCAAAUCCAGUUUUAUGACUUACUAAUGAGAUUCCUAUAUGUAGGAUUAAAGACGAUGCGCUUUGUGUGAGCCCAAGGGCAUUUGGUUUGAACAUGAAGGGUUGAAGUCUCAAAUGCACCAAUGUUUUCAUUAUUUGUAUUUUUUUUUAUAAAAAUAAGGUGUGUUGUAAAUACUACUUUUGAUUAUUGUGGGGUUACCGCCUCCCCACCCACCCCUGAAACUGCAUCCCUGUGUGAACCCCACUAUUUGAAAGCUAAUUUUAAACCCCAUUCUUAUGCCCUGUCACGUCCAUGUAUCUCUCAUCAUCACCUGCUACAUCAUCAUCAUCUCUCUCACAGUGAAACCAGAGUGGGGGGCAUUCCUUCUUAAAAUGGAUCCCUGUUCCUCUUUCUCAUCCUGUCGUGUUAUUGAAGCAAUAUGUCAGGCCUGUCAUAGAGUCCCUCAAGGAUAAAGUAUCAUAACUACCGAAAUAAGUGGCUCCAUAUGAUUAAGAUCUCAACACGUCAAGAUUAUACUUCUUCAUUAUGUUAUUUCUGUGUGAUUGCAUUAACAGGUUGCACGAUAAGAUGUUAAAUGUUCAAUUUUUUUACUUUUAGUAAUAUUGGAUUAAUUAUUGGAAAUAUUGUGACUUUUUUAGUGGUGGGAGAGUUUAACCUUUGGUUGUCAUCAAUUGUCGGCACUUGCCGCCACCUAGCGGUGUCUGAACAAACAGCACGUCAGUAAUAACCUCUUGAAAGGAGCAAGACAAUCCUCUGGCAUAGUAUUUUGGCUACCGGCCACGCAGCUAGUCAAUAUUUUCCUGGAAGACACAUAGAUGUGAACGCUCAUUGGAGCCAAGCAACCUCAGAUGUUUUCCUUUGCCGUUUCUGCUUCCAUUCAUGAGGAGUUGGAGCUCGGCCCAAAUAGCUGUGUGAUACAUUAGUGAUUUAUAACUGUGCUGUAUUGUUUAAUCUCUUAAAUUAUACUAGCAGACACUGGAAAUGUUUCCACAGUUUUAUAAACGCUGCCUAACCAUGAUUAAUAUUUUCAAGCCACAGGCCUUGUAGUCUUUUGCCUCAGCGUAUAUCUGAUAAUUCUUUCUUUUAGUAAAUCAUACGGACACAAAAAUCAUAUUGUUUAAUGUUUUUGUAAAUAAGAGCUAUGCUAUCCUGUGGUAGUCUGCCUCAGGCUCUCUGUAAGGUGUUGUUUAUACAUAUAGACUAAACUGUUCAGCCACCAUGUUUGCUUAAGUUAUAUUUUUACAUUUCUUAUUUCCUUAUAGGAUAUUUAGAGUUUUCAUAGUACACAAAACUUGUUUUAAAAUGUUUUAACUGUGGAUUAAAGGGUGCUUGUAGCUUCAAUACCCUUCUUGGACCACUCCUUUUCAGACCCCACCCAACAGCACCACAGCAAAGUUAAGCCCUGCAUCACCUCAUAUUACAGUAAACUCACUGUGACAAGGCGGCAUGUAGAAAAUUGAACUCCAUUGUACAUUGUACACUCACUUUUAUGAAGCACAAAUGGCUUUUACUGGUAGCCUACUUCAAAUGUCACUAAACCACAUAUUAUGUAUGUUUAUUAAACAAUAAUUCAUG